rnacentral:rRNA from 1 species
GGAAUUGACGGGGGCCCGCACAAGCGGUGGAGCAUGUGGUUUAAUUCGAUGAUACGCGAGGAACCUUACCUGGGCUCAAAUGUAUGUUGACGUAUUCUGAAAGGGAUACUUCUUCGGACAAUAUACAAGGUGCUGCAUGGUUGUCGUCAGCUCGUGCCGUGAGGUGUCGGGUUAAGUCCCAUAACGAGCGCAACCCCUAUCAUUAGUUGCCAUCAGGUCAAGCUGGGGACUCUAAAGGAACUGCCUACGCAAGUAGUGAGGAAGGCGGGGAUGACGUCAAAUCAGCACGGCCCUUACGUCCAGGGCUACACACGUGCUACAAUGGCCGAUACAGAGGGCAGCUACCUGGUGACAGGAUGCAAAUCUCCAAAGUCGGUCUCAGUUCGGAUCGGAGUCUGCAACCCGACUCCGUGAAGUUGGAUUCGCUAGUAAUCGCGCAUCAGCCAUGGCGCGGUGAAUACGUUCCCGGGCCUU